GAUGAACGCUGGCGGCGUGCCUAAUACAUGCAAGUCGAGCGAACAGACGAGGAGCUUGCUCCUCUGACGUUAGCGGCGGACGGGUGAGUAACACGUGGAUAACCUACCUAUAAGACUGGGAUAACUUCGGGAAACCGGCGCUAAUCCCGGAUAAUAUAUUGAACCGCAUGGUUCAAUAGUGAAAGACGGUUUUGCUGUCACUUAUAGAUGGAUCCGCGCCGCAUUAGCUAGUUGGUAAGGUAACGGCUUACCAAGGCGACGAUGCGUAGCCGACCUGAGAGGGUGAUCGGCCACACUGGAACUGAGACACGGUCCAGACUCCUACGGGAGGCAGCAGUAGGGAAUCUUCCGCAAUGGGCGAGAGCCUGACAGAGCAACGCCGCGUGAGUGAUGAAGGUCUUCGGAGCGUAAAACUCUGUUAUGAGGGAAGAACAAAUGUGUAAGUAACUAUGCACGUCUUGACGGUACCUGAUCAGAAAGCCACGGCUAACUACGUG
rnacentral:rRNA from 1 species